GGGUGGGGGCGGGGGAGAGGAGGUGGAAAGCGUGCAUGUCCAACGGGGAUGGGGGAAGGCGGGAGGAGACUAGACUCCCCCUCUGCACAGGUUGGGAUGGAAGACAUCGUUCCCUCUCCGCAGGAGAGUGGGAGGCUGCUGUUCGGGACGCCGCCUGUGUUAGCUCUGGUGGGGAGUGCUCCGAGGGCUGCCUGAUUGUUGCCUUCUUCUCUUCUCCCCAACACACUUGAGCUGGGGCUGGCCCUACUGCAUAGGGACUGCGCAGUGAAAGGUGACAGAUGGCAGACAUCGAUACCCCGAGCGGGCAGGCUCUCACCGAGUUUGCAGAACAUUUAUUACAGGAACUUCAGGUACACUUUCAAGCUCUGACUGAAACAAUAACUCUCAAAAAUAUCCUUUUGUGUUUUAAAAGAAUGUACAGUAUUUCUCUGAAGUUGCAAUUUCUCUGAAGUGAAUAAGAAAUGUUUUCAUGAUCAACAUUCCUGGCCAUUUUCUUUCCUUCCAUAUUCCUAGUAUGCAUAUUUCUCAUGGAAAGUAUAUUUUUGCAAUUUGGUUGGUACAUUCUGAGGUGUAUUACUAUUUUUCUGUAGGAUGGAAGAUUAUUUCAUAGUCAAGAAGAAGAGAAAGCUGGCAUAUAUUUUUCAAGUUAAAAUAAAAAUUCAUAUUUAUUUUCCUCAGUAUGUCAAAGAUAUGUGACUUUCUUAUUGUAGAGACUCCUUCCACCAACCAUCUGAGACAUAAGGAUGGUAAAUAGUUUGUCUUUGUUCAUAUAACUAGUAUGUGUCUUGAAAAGGGAUUUGAAUUCAGAAAUUCUUAACUCUAGUCUAUAGUCUAUCUACUAUGCCCAGUUAGCUGUAAGUAGGCAUUGUGGUACAGUAGAAAGAAUGCUGUAUUUGGAGUCAGAGGACCUGAAAUGAAAUAUGGCAAAGCCUUGAAGGGGCUGAUCUAUAAAACCUUUAGGUUCAGUCAAUGAGCCUAUGAUCUCAUGUUUACAUAGUACUACAGAAAGAAAUCUCUAAUUCUAUGUGAUCUAAUUCCCAUUAUUCAUACUAGCAAGCCUUAAACAUUUUUCAGCAAUGCAAAUAUUUGUUUGCUUCAACUCUUCCUUUUACAGCUUUGUCUUGGAAAUGGUCAAGUGUAACAGGCUGUUUUCAGUCUGUAUAAAACCAAAAGAAAAACAACACAUUCACCCAGGGCAAAUUUGACUUCACUUCAAAAACCGUAUUCUUUAGUACUGGUCUGAAAAACAUCUGUACAAUCAUUUCUCACUAACUUAUACUCCAACUUUUGGAAUCAGUUUUCAUAGGAAAACAUAUCCUAAGGCAUAAUGAAAUCAGCACUUAAAUAUCUUAAAAUGAAUAUGUGUGUGCAUGCACAUGUAUAUAUAGAGACAAAGAUUUUGUCCCACACAAUUAGGGAAGACAAUUUAGUUAAAAAAGAGUAAGUCCUCAAAAUGUUUAGUCAUGUAUUAAAAUAUAGCAUAGUUAACUUCUAUUUCUUUGGAUGUUAUUCCUGAUUCCAUUCAACCAAACGAGUUAAAUCUAUUGGAUUUCAUCUUUAAAAGCUACAGUGGUGAUGCUUUUACUCCAGUUAUUUGGCAAUACAUCAGUUGGAGAAAAAAAUUAUAUGACUUUUCCCCUAUCGAUUAGACAGUAGAAGUAACAAUUUACUAUGACUUGCUUUUCCUCUUGUUACUUUAAAAACCUACAAUUUAAUGAAAUUAUUAGAAUGUUAUAAGUAUUCAUGAAAAAAUGAUCUUUGAAGAGGGUUUUUUGGCCAACAGUUCAAAAGUGACAUUAGAUAUGCAAACCAAAAGAUGACCAUAAGGUACUGAAUAUACAUUAUUUCACUAAUGAAAUUAACCUGCAUUAUAGUUCUCCUUAACUUUAUACUGGAAGAAAUGGGGAAUCGGAUUGAUGACUUACAGAACAAUGUAACUGAUCUCAUGGUACAAGCUGGGAUCCAGAAUACAGACAAAGAGCAAAUGACCUGAAGAAAUUACUGCAAUGCUACAAGAUACAAAGUACAUUCUCUUUGGAUAAUGAUUCUUCACAGAAGCUGUUCCUAUGAGUGAAAUCUUGUCAAGUUUGAAAAAUUAAGUAAAUGUGGUACGAUAAUACAAUGUGGUACGAUAGUUAACAUUACAACCUGAACUGUGUCUUUCAAUAACUAAUUAGAUUUGUUUGUAGAAAUUUAGUUCUUAGAUUACCUUAAGACUGAUGUUUAUAAAAUAUAUCAUUCAGAAAGUACUUUUAACAAAUCAUAAAUAUUUUCAUCAAAAAUAGUUUAAAUUUACAUAAUGCUUUAAAAUGUGCAAGUACUUUUAAUAUGUAUAACAACAUUUGUACCUCAGCAGAAUCCCAUGAGGGAAGUACUGCAGAUAUAAUUAUACCUAUUUUUAAAAUGAGUCAACUAAAGGAAACCUCUAAGCCAUUAUUACAAAUAGCUUAAUACUCAUUAGGUUAGUGUUAAUCUGCAGCGGGGAAAAGUCUUAACUUCCCAAUUUGCCAUAGUGAAAAUGUCCAAAAGCUUCAAGACAUUGACUGAGCAAGAGAAACCGCAUUUACUGGUCUAUCUAGUGAUUCUAAAACAGACUAAUACAUUGUUCAUCUUGGGCUAUCAAAAAUAUAAUGGGUUCUUUUAAAGAGAAAUUACCAAAUCAAGCCAAUCUCUAGUAUUAGGCUGACAUUCUACAUCUCCUUGUUCAUGCAUCUAAAAUCAAUCCACCCAAUUUAUGGGAAAUCCAGUAGGGAAAUUAUCUGAAAUGAUUAUAAAGUAGUACUCCCUUUCUCACAAAUUCUGUUCUGACUUUCCUAUAGUAAUUGUUUUCACUAGCACCUUGUUCUAACAAAGAUGAGAAUGUCUUCAUAUAAGCAUGAAUACAUAUGUAUAAUGUAUAAAGUUAUUUAAGCACCCUAGUUACUUAAGUUGUGCCUAGUUACUUAAGUUGUGAACUGCUACAGCUGAACACAAGUAUGAGAUAGUUUAUAGCAUAUCAAAAGAGAAUACAUCUAUUUCAACAUCUAAUAACAUUCUUUCCUUUAAAUAAAAAUCUUAAUAUAUUUUCUAAAUGUAUUCAAACAAUUAGUCUUAAAUUUCAAAUCACAAAAAGUAGGUUUUUUUGAACAUCCUCCUUUGUUCAGAAGAAGGAAUUUGGAAGUUAAGAAGUCUGAGGAGGAUAGCUGGGUAGCUCAGUGGAUUGAGAGCAGGCCUAGAGAUGGGAGGUCCUGGGUUCAAAUAUGGCCUCAGAUACUUCCUUGCUGUGUGACCCUGGGCAAGUCACUUAACCCCCAUUGCCUAGCCCUUACCACUCUUCUGCCUUGAAACCAAUAAACAGUAUUGAUUUCUAAGACAAAAGGUAAUGGUUUUAAAAAAAAAUUCUGGUACUAUCCCAGAAAUACCCGAGAAAAUUGUUGGAAAAUACAAAUACCUGCAAAGUCAGUUUCUGAAGUUAUAAAAUGAAGACGUACCCCAGUGUCCUGAAAGCUACUUUACCUACAUAGAAAGUACCACCUAAAGUUUCAAAGAAUUUUGCCAACAAUAUCAUUGAUAAAUAUAUUUUCAUAAGUAAGGAUGAGAACUGAUUCCCCUCUCCCUUUUUUCCCCACAUUACAAAAGGUGCUAUAAUUAUUAAUAAAAGUAAAUUUGUUCCUAAAUUUGAAAAGGGUAGUUGGAUGUCCCCAAGUUUAAAUUCCUAAUGGGUUAUUCCAGAAAAUAAAAAAAUUGCCUGCUACAUAUAAGAAAUGGGUAUGUUUCUGUUAACUCUAGAAUAACCAGUUAAAUGUGAAAAUGUCACACACACACACAAAAAACUUCAAAGUUCAGAUAUAAUUAUCUCUGAACUUUGAAGUUUGUGUGUGUAAUUUUUUAAAAUGUUUACAAAAGUAGUGAGGGGAAAAAUGUAAAUUGCACUAAGUACAUUGUUGUUUCUUAGUACUUAAUGUUGCUUUAUAGCUUUUUAAUAUUUUAAUGUUUUUUAACAUUUAACAAUGUAUAUUUUCUUUAUAUGUACUUAGCUUAUGAGAAAUAAAAUUGAGUUUUACUUAAA